UACAGAGGGGGCAAGCGUUGUUCGGAAUUACUGGGCGUAAAGGGCGCGUAGGCGCCCGCUAAGUCGAACGUGAAAUCCCCGAGCUCAACUCGGGAACUGCGUCCGAUACUGGCGGGCUUGAAUCCGGGAGAGGGAUGCGGAAUUCCAGGUGUAGCGGUGAAAUGCGUAGAUAUCUGGAGGAACACCGGUGGCGAAGGCGGCAUCCUGGACCGGCAUUGACGCUGAACAGCGAAAGCCAGGGGAGCAAACCGGG
rnacentral:rRNA from 1 species